rnacentral:rRNA from 2 species
GGAUGCGAUCAUACCAGCACUAACGCACCGGAUCCCAUCAGAACUCCGAAGUUAAGCGUGCUUGGGCGAGAGAGUACUAGGAUUGGUGACCCCAUUGGGAAGUCCUCGUGUUGCAUCCC